rnacentral:rRNA from 1 species
ACUGCGGAGGAUCAUUACUGAACUGCCACACGAGUUGUUGCUGGCCCUCAAAUGGGGGGCAUGUGCACGCUCUGUUUGCACAUCCACUCACACCUGUGCACCUUCUGUAGUUCUGUGGCCUGGAGGACUCUGUCCUCCUGCUGCGGUUCUACAUCUUUACACACACACUGUAGCAAAGUCUUAUGGAAUGCAUGCCGCGUUUAACGCAAUACAAUACAACUUUCAGCAACGGAUCUCUUGGCUCUCGCAUCGAUGAAGAACGCAGCGAAAUGCGAUAAGUAAUGUGAAUUGCAGAAUUCAGUGAAUCAUCGAAUCUUUGAACGCACCUUGCGCCCUUUGGCUAUUCCGAAGGGCAUGCCUGUUUGAGUGUCAUUAAAUCAUCAACCCCGAGACGUUUGUUCGCCUUGUGGGCUUGGACUUGGAGUGUGCCGGCGAAGGUCGGCUCCUCUCAAAAUCAUCAGCGGGAUUUCAGCCUCUGGGUUCCAGAAGUCGGUGUGAUAAUCAUGUUGCGCCGUCGUCGGAACCCUUCAAGGGCCCCGCUUACAAUCGUCCUCGGACAAACAUCAUUUGAAUUUGACCUCAAAUCAGGUAGGACUACCCGCUGAACUUAAGCAUAUCAAUA